rfam:Mustela putorius furo unplaced genomic scaffold scaffold00049, whole genome shotgun sequence.
GCUUGCUUUGGCAACACAGAUACUAAAAUUGGAAUGAUACAGAGGUUAGCGUGGCCCCUGCACAAGGAUGAUAUGCAAAUUUGUGAAGCAUUCCAUAUUUUU